rnacentral:rRNA from 1 species
UACGUAGGGUGCGAGCGUUGUCCGGAAUUAUUGGGCGUAAAGAGCUCGUAGGCGGCUUGGCAAGUCGGGUGUGAAACCUCCAGGCUCAACCUGGAGACGCCACUCGAUACUGCCAUGGCUAGAGUCCGGUAGGGGACCACGGAAUUCCUGGUGUAGCGGUGAAAUGCGCAGAUAUCAGGAAGAACACCCGUGGCGAAGGCGGCUCUCUGGGACGGUACUGACGCUGAGACGCGAAAGCGUGGGGAGCGAACAGG